UGGUUACAUCCGAGGACAGCCCACAAUCAAGGGGAGGGUAGAUAUGUUCUACCUCUUGACAUGUAGUAUGAACAUAAAGCACAGUUGAUUCCUGAGCUGUGAUGACUUUCCACUGACCAUACUACUGCAAUGAUGUUAUUCUGGGCCAAACUUCGGAAUCAAUUCUUGUCUGCUGCCUGAUUCAAUUAUUUUUAAUGCACCCUGUGGAUUUUUACUUGCUAAAGUAGAAAGAAGAUCCCAACAUUUGAUGAGAAAAUAUACAGAAGGCAUAGGUCACAUGUCUGACUCACAGCUGCGAUGUGGUGGAUCCAAAUCUCUCUGAGGCCAAAUACUGCCCAGCUCGAAUGAACGCUAUGCUCCAUGCCUGAAACAACUGCUCCAGCCCUCAGAAAAGAGUCUCCCAUUCAACUGAAGUCUGCAUAUCAGAUUCCCGUGGGAUAAUUCAUAAAGGCUCCUUGAAGUUAAUUCUGGGUAUAUCCUGAAAUAGAGGGUCUCCUCUGUUUUUUCUUCUUUUUUUCCACAACUGAGGAGACACUAGUGCCUACUUAUCUCAAUAAUGGGAUUUCUCUUUGAUGCAAUUGCAGUUUUUACUAGGCCUUUCAAUAAAUAUGUUGAAUAUUUUU
rnacentral:lncRNA from 1 species